UCUAUGAGAGGAGAAGCUCUGCAAAGCAGUGUUGCUACAGUACACUACUCCAGAUGUAAUCCCACACAGACUUCCCUGGCUAUGAUUCCGACUUAUUCAGUAAUUACAAGCAACAAAGAAAACAGGCGCCUGGCAUAAAAACCAACACCAGAGUCCUGAAGAGUGAUCUGAGUUUACAAAACAAACAGGAGUCUGAGUGUGCUGAGGGAUCUACACUCAAACAAUUGGGACCCUCAGGUGGUUGCACAAUUUGGAGGCUCAUUAUGUCCUCUCUCAGUCCAGGAGUUUCCACCCACACUUGUGUUUUGAAGGCAACAAGGCAGGGGAUGACAAGGAAAAGGGGAAGCAAAAAUAAUCCCCCUGAACAUCAUUUUUUUGGGGAAUGAAAACCUGACAUUCUGCAGAAGGCACCAUCCUCCAGCAAAACUGCAGCAGUGAGGUCGCCAAGAUAAGAGAACCCCCCAAAGCAAGCAAGCAACUAAAUAAAUAAGUACA